rnacentral:misc_RNA from 1 species
AAAAAUAAUGAAUUGCCGGGGCGGAAUUUUUUUUCGUCCCGGCGUAUUCAACAACCCGCUCUUGUAUUUGGAUCAAACGUCAAACAAAAAAACUUUUAUGUAUUAUAAUAAAAAAAU